CAGCUGCGUUCAAUCACCUGCCACGGAGAGGAGAAGGAGCAGAAUCUGAAGGAGAACAGAGGAGAACUCAGCACACACACUUAGCAAUUUCAUGAAUGAUGAUGACAAAGCCUACAAGUUUUUUAUUUGAAUCUAACCUAUCAAAUAGCUGAAGUAGCCGAACAGGAUUGCAUCAUCAAAAUAGUUCUGCGGUGAUGCCUGUCCGCUAGGUUACCAUGACUACCUGACACUGAAGGCACCUCUUCAUCCAUCUGUGCUGCAGCAGUCGCUUCCACCUUGCCCGGCUCUAACCUAUCCACCCACCAUUCCUUCCAUCAGUUCUUCCCCCUGCAAUACAAGCGGCAUUCGCCCAUAGAAAGGAAGAUAAGGUCGAGGCUGCUGGCUUUUUGAAAGCACCGACACCGCAAGAGCUGAACUCAGUCGACAAAAGCGAGGGAGCGACAAGCAACGGGGG
ensembl:lncRNA